rnacentral:misc_RNA from 1 species
AACGGUCUAUACCUGCGGUACCUGCGGAGGGAUCAUUACAGAGUUGCAAAACUCCAAACCAUUGUGAACUUACCUUUGCCGUUGCUUCGGCGGGCGGCCCGGGUCCCGACCCGGCGCCCCCCGGCCCCGUCAGGGGCGCCCGCCGGAGGUAAACCAAACUCUUGAAUUGUAUGGCCUCUCUGAGUCUUCUGUACUGAAUAAGUCAAAACUUUCAACAACGGAUCUCUAGAUCGGAAGAGC